UACUUCCAUAUUUAUCACAUUAAAGAAUUAAAAUAAUUAAAUUACAAAACAAAAAAAAAACAAAAAAGAAAUGAAACGGAAAAGCCAAUCUUUCUUCUACCUAAAUCCAUCCCGCCCUUAAUGUCUACAACCGCUAGCGACUAUCGACGUCAUUGCAAAGCUUCAACACCAUUACUCCACACUCACUCAUCACUACCACCGCAAACCAACUACCAUCAUCGCUACCAUCGAAUCCAACAUUACCAUCAUCCCCAAAAAUUGCCACCCCCAUCUCCCGACCAAAAAUCAAACCCAAGCAAUAAAAUCAUUCGUCACCUCAACCAUCAGCCAUGAACCACAAACACACAAACCGUACAUACUAUUGGGCAAACGACAAUAUAUAUAUAUAGAUCAAACUCCAAAGCAUCAAGAAUCGCACAUUUUUUCUAAAAAUUCUAAUAAAUCCAACAAUACUCACGGUCACGCACUAUUGUCAGUCGGUAAGCCUCAUCUAGGCAAAAGUUCAUUUUGAAACAUCAUCAAAAAUAGUUCCAGCCUGUCGUACCGCAAAACGAAGUCAAUCAGCCUCAUUCAAUUCAUCGGUUGGAGUAAAGGAAUAAGAAUGUGUUUUACGAGGUGGUUCAGAAGUGGAAGGAGUAUGCGUGCAACAUUUUGCGUUGUUGAUGGCGCUGACGAUGACUAGGUGGUAUUGGUUUUGGUUUGGGGUGUGAGGUGUAAGGUUUUGGGUGAAGACGAUAAAUAUUUUUAUUUUUCUUCAUUUCCUUUUUUAUUUUUUUGUAUUUAUUUACUUUAAUUAAAUAAUGUAGUAAAUUGCAAGUUACUAUUUUACCUUUUAUAAAAUUAUUAAAAAAAAUGUUCAAACUAACUUUUUGGGUCAACUAAUAGAAAUAUGAGUGAAAAUCAUCCAAAAGAUUUGGAGUGACAGCUAUAACGUUUGAAAAGCUUGGAGAAAGUCUGCUAGUAUUUCGAAGAUUUUGAGCUUUUGCUACAAUUAUCCCUAUUUGUUUAGAUAAGCAACUUCUGUCUUUUUUAUCUAAAGAGUUCAAUGUAAAAUAGGAGUAGGGUUUUUUUAGUUACAAAAUCACUACUGAUUUUUAUUAUUGAGAUAUAUUGAGUUCCUCUCUUAUUUGUCUAUGUUGUUCACUUUAAUUUUAAAUACACCACACAUAAUAAGUUGUUAACUUUUUAUUUUAAACUGAACCAACUAACUCUAAGUUCGAA
rnacentral:lncRNA from 1 species